rnacentral:rRNA from 1 species
UGGGGAAUAUUGCACAAUGGGCGCAAGCCUGAUGCAGCCAUGCCGCGUGUGUGAAGAAGGCCUUCGGGUUGUAAAGCACUUUCAGCGAGGAGGAAGGUGGUGAGCUUAAUACGCUCAUCAAUUGACGUUACUCGCAGAAGAAGCACCGGCUAACUCCGUGCCAGCAGCCGCGGUAAUACGGAGGGUGCAAGCGUUAAUCGGAAUUACUGGGCGUAAAGCGCACGCAGGCGGUUUGUUAAGUCAGAUGUGAAAUCCCCGGGCUCAACCUGGGAACUGCAUUUGAAACUGGCAAGCUAGAGUCUCGUAGAGGGGGGUAGAAUUCCAGGUGUAGCGGUGAAAUGCGUAGAGAUCUGGAGGAAUACCGGUGGCGAAGGCGGCCCCCUGGACGAAGACUGACGCUCAGGUGCGAAAGCGUGGGGCAGCAAACAGGAUUAGAUACCCUGGUAGUCCACGCUGUAAACGAUGUCGA